UACGAAGGGGGCUAGCGUUGCUCGGAAUCACUGGGCGUAAAGGGUGCGUAGGCGGGUCUUUAAGUCAGGGGUGAAAUCCUGGAGCUCAACUCCAGAACUGCCUUUGGUACUGAAGAUCUUGAGUCCGGGAGAGGUGAGUGGAACUGCGAGUGUAGAGGUGAAAUUCGUAGAUAUUCGCAAGAACACCAGUGGCGAAGGCGGCUCACUGGCCCGGUACUGACGCUGAGGCACGAAAGCGUGGGGAGCAAACAGGG
rnacentral:rRNA from 1 species